AGUAGCAAGUCCGCGGUAAGCGCUGACGCAUGCGCAUAGCUAACCGCACCCGGUUCAGCUCGCCUUUCUUGGCCAGAGGCGCCGGUUGGACUCACGGGCGGGGCAUGAUGGUGGUGGGUACAGGCACCUCGCUGGCGCUCUCCUCCCUCCUGUCCCUGCUGCUCUUUGCUGGGAUGCAGAUGUACAGCCGUCAGCUGGCCUCCACCGAGUGGCUCACCAUCCAGGGCGGCCUGCUUGGUUCGGGUCUCUUCGUGUUCUCGCUCACUGCCUUCAAUAAUCUGGAGAAUCUUGUCUUUGGCAAAGGAUUCCAAGCAAAGAUCUUCCCUGAGAGUAACCUAAAAUCCUUUCCUGCCCCCAUGAAGAAGUGGAUCCAAGCACUCUGCCCUCCAACCUGUGUCCAGGGAGCAAGGCCUUCAACUUCCACCACUGGUCACCCAGCUUAAUGAAUUGACUCUCAUUGUCUGGCUUCUUUUGGAAAGGGUUUAACUGGGUUCCCCAAAUGGGAACACACCUUGCCCUUCAGACUCUGUUAUCCAUCACCUUUCCUUUUCCCUUUUAUGGGAGGAAAGCCAGGGUAGGGAAGUUAUGUGAGAUUUGGGGCAGAGCUGGUAAAAAAAAAGCAUACAUCUACAUCCAUGUUCUUUUUUUUUUUUUUUUUUUUUUGGAGACGGGGUCUCACUCUGUUGCCCAGGCUGGAGUGCAGUGGUGCGAUCACAGUUCACUGCAGCUUUGAACUUCCUGUCUCAAGGGUUCCUCCAACUUCAGCCUCCUGAAUAGCUGGGACUACAGGCUGGUCUCAAACUCCUGGGCUCAAGUGAUCUGCCCACCUCAGCCUCCCGAAGUGCUGGGAUUCCAGGUGCAAGCCACCACACUCAACCUCCUACCUCCAUGUUCUGGGUAUCAUUAAGUUCUCCUGUGCCUCCUGUUGGCUCUCUUUGCAUCUGGCCUCAUCCACCGAGUCUGUGUCACCACCUGCUUCAUCUUCUCCAUGAUUGGUCUGUACUACAUCAACAAGAUCUCCUCCACCCUGUACCAGGCAGCAGCUCCAGUCCUCACACCAGCCAAGGUCACAGGCAAGAGCAAGAAGAGAAACUGACCCUGAAUGUUCAAUAAAGUUGAUUCUUUGUA